UACAAGUAGGGCUGCGUAAUAGGUAAUAAAUAGGCAUGAAGUGUGAUAAGAUGGAAAAAACCUUAAGAAGGUGUCUAGAAUUAAAAAAAGAAAAAUAGGUGAAUAAUUAAUGUAAGGAUAAAAUCUAUUGAAAUUAAUUAGAAAAUCAAAGAUGUGACAACACCAAUUUAUUUUUAAUUGACAUUGAAUCACUAAAGUGUGGGUAGCGAUACAG
rnacentral:rRNA from 1 species